rnacentral:rRNA from 1 species
GACAGAGGAGCCAAGCGUUGUCCGGAUUGACUGGGCGUAAAGCGCACGCAGGCGGGGGCGCGCGUGGGGGGUGAAACCUGGCCGCUUAACGGCCAGCGGCCAUCCCAUACGGCGCGCCUGGAGCCUUGCAGAGGGCGGUGGAAUUGCCGGUGUAGUGGUGAAAUGCGUAGAGAUCGGCAGGAAGACCAAGGGGGAAGCCAGGGGACUGGCCCGCGGCUGACGCUCAGGUGCGAGAGCGUGGGGAGCGAACCGG